UACGGGGGGGGCAAGCGUUGUUCGGAAUUACUGGGCGUAAAGGGCUCGUAGGCGGCCAACUAAGUCAUACGUGAAAUCCCUCGGCUUAACCGGGGAACUGCGUCUGAUACUGGAUGGCUUGAAUCCGGGAGAGGGAUGCGGAAUUCCAGGUGUAGCGGUGAAAUGCGUAGAUAUCUGGAGGAACACCGGUGGCGAAGGCGGCAUCCUGGACCGGCAUUGACGCUGAGGCGCGAAAGCCAGGGGAGCAAACGGG
rnacentral:rRNA from 1 species